GACAGAGGGUGCAAACGUUGUUCGGAAUUACUGGGCGUAAAGCGCGUGUAGGCGGCUAAGUAAGUCGGGCGUGAAAUCCCACGGCUCAACCGUGGAAGUGCACUCGAAACUGCAUAGCUAGAGUCCUGGAGAGGAAGGUGGAAUGCUUGGUGUAGCGGUGAAAUGCGCAGAUAUCAGGAGGAACACCGGUGGCGAAGGCGGGUCUCUGGGCCGAUACUGACGCUGAGGAGCGAAAGCGUGGGGAGCGAACAGG
rnacentral:rRNA from 1 species